UGCUCCCAGAGGUCAGCGGCCAGAUCUUCGGAGCCUCUUUGUAGAGAUCCGCCUGGAGGCCCUUUUCCUCGGAGUUGCGACCCCUGAACUGACGAUCGUAGAGCUCGAAGAGCAUCAGCCAGAUGCGUUGUUCGUCCUUCAAAUACUGUAGGAUAUUAUGCGCAUUCGACAACACAACCUUAUCUACAAAAGGCCAAAAAAAAGCUAGAAGAGGACUUAACCCAAUCAAGGACCAAUCACCCACAUCGAAAG
rnacentral:sRNA from 1 species